UACGAGUGCCCCAAGCGUUAUCCGGAAUUAUUGGGCGUAAAGGGUGUGUAGGUGGCUUUGUUAGUCUUUUGUGAAAGCUUCCCGGCUUAACUGGGGAAACGCAGAGGAAACGGCAAAGCUAGAGGAUGCGAGAGGUCUAGGGAACUCAAGGUGUAGGGGUGAAAUCCGUUGAUAUCUUGAGGAACACCAAAAGCGAAGGCACUAGACUGGCGGCACUCCUGACACUGAAACACGAAAGCGUGGGUAGCGAAUGGG
rnacentral:rRNA from 1 species